AUCAAAUACUCCCACUUGUUUUAUAAAACACGUCUUAAAUGGUAAACUGGAAAGAAUAAUUUCAGCGUUCAUUACUGUCUCCUUCCCCUAACUGCAGAGUGGCCUGAGGCUACAGCAGAGUGUUCUGUGCCUCUGUGGAAGGCUGUUACUUUUGCACAGCUCUGUGUAAUUUGUGCAGUUUAUUACCUGAAGUUGUUUCAUGAAGACUUCAUAGAGCGAUUGGUGUGUUUGGGGACAUAAUUCCCCCUCCCCUUUUAAAGGAGACUGGAAAGUGCAUCCCUGGAUAAACCCCAGAAGAGGAUGGAGCUCGGAGCAUAGGUAAAUGUCUCUUUUCAGCUUGGGGGUGUAGCCUGGCUGUUGCUGAUGCAUGACUGGGUCUCUUUUUCUUUUCUUUCUCUAAGCACAAAGCCUGUGCUAAGGAAAUGCAGUAACUUCCUUCCCUGCUUCCAUGCUCUAGAAAAUACCUGACAGGGACACAGCCAAGGCUUAUGAGUAUUCUGAAGAUGGCAAAAUGACUUCAGCAGUUCUGUGCCCCAGCUAAACCAGCUUGUUCAGAUCAAUCCAUACACAGCGUAGGAGCAAAGGAACAGUAGCUAAGCUAACGUCCCCCUUGGUGAGCUGGAGGAGGAAGGAGAUUUUGAAUAAAGAGAUGGAAACCCCCGUGCUCUCUGCCAGCACAGGGCCUGACUGUGACGGGCUCCAACCACAGCUAAAAGCAAAGUCUCUGUCCCAAAGAAUUUGCAAUCUACUUUGCCAAGAAGCUGCUUUUAUCUGCUCUUCUGAUGACCAGAAAGGCUGAGCAAUCUGUCUAGUAUCACAGCAAAACUCUGGCAGAGAGAGGUAACAACUGAAUUCUCCUUUCCUCAUUUAAGACCUUUGUGGCAAUGGCUUUUUGGGUCACAGACACCAGUUUUUCUUUCAGAGAAGCAAAGAUUUAGUGUUUGCACCUACGGCAAGCUGGUUUUAUGGGACCAGUGCUGCGUGAGAGCUGAGCAACGGUGGAUUUGUGUGCUGAAAGCGUGUCUGUGUGUGUGAACUUCACUAGCACAGCACCAAGCAGUUAGUCACAAAAGUGAAACAGAAGUGAGGGAUCCACAGUGCUGUGCCUUGCCACA